rnacentral:rRNA from 1 species
UACGUAGGGGGCAAGCGUUGUCCGGAAUCACUGGGCGUAAAGAGCUUGUAGGCGGUCUGUCGCGUCUGCUGUGAAAAUCCGGGGCUCAACCCCGGACUGCAGUGGGUACGGGCAGACUAGAGUGUGGUAGGGGAGACUGGAAUUCCUGGUGUAGCGGUGAAAUGCGCAGAUAUCAGGAGGAACACCGAUGGCGAAGGCAGGUCUCUGGGCCACUACUGACGCUGAGAAGCGAAAGCAUGGGGAGCGAACAGG